rnacentral:tRNA from 1 species
GCCUGGGUGGCUCAGUCGGUUGAGCGGCCGACUUCAGCUCAGGUCACGAUCUCGCGGUCCGUGAGUUCGAGCCCCACGUCAGGCU